UGUAAGCGUAUACCAAAGUUGUUGCAGUUAAAACGCUCGUAGUCGGAAUUUGGCAGUUCCGGAUGUGUGCACGUCGUGUGCGCACUUCGCGGGGAUUGCUUUUGUGGUCUUGCGUAGGAUGAGGCACUUUUAUUAGUGAACGUCCUCACGCAACCACUUUUUACUGUGAGAAAAUCAGAGUGCUCAAAGCAGGCAUUUGCCGUGAAUGUAUUAGCAUGGAAUAAUAGAAUAGGACUUGGUUCUAUUUUGUUGGUUUGUUGGGACUGAGUAAUGAUUAAGAGGGACAGUUGGGGGCAUUUGUAUUUCGGUGCUAGAGGUGAAAUUCUUAGAUUACCGAAAGACAAACUGCUGCGAAAGCGUCUGCCAAGGAUGUGUUCAUUGA
rnacentral:rRNA from 1 species